GAUGAAGAACGUAGCGAAAUGCGAUACUUGGUGUGAAUUGCAGAAUCCCGUGAACCAUCGAGUCUUUGAACGCAAGUUGCGCCCGAAGCCAUUAGGCCGAGGGCACGCCUGCCUGGGCGUCACACGUCGUUGCCCCCCCAUCUACUCCUUCGGGAUUGCGGGGGGCGGAUGAUGGCCUCCCGUGCGCCUCGUCGCGCGGUUGGCCUAAAUGCCAAGUCCUCGGCGACGCACGCCACGACAAUCGGUGGUUGCGAAACCUCGGUUGCCCGUCGUGUGCGGUCGUCGCGCAUCGAGGGCUCGAAAAAAUUGCCGGGCUUCGGCUCGACUUUCAACGCGACCCCAGGUCAGGCGGGGUUACCCGCUGAAUUUAAGCAUAUCAAAGCGGAGGA
rnacentral:misc_RNA from 1 species